rnacentral:rRNA from 1 species
UACGUAGGGUGCAAGCGUUAUCCGGAAUUAUUGGGCGGAAAGAGCUCGUAGGCGGUUUGUCGCGUCUGCUGUGAAAACUGGAGGCUCAACCUCCAGCCUGCAGUGGGUACGGGCAGACUAGAGUGCGGUAGGGGAGAUUGGAAUUCCUGGUGUAGCGGUGGAAUGCGCAGAUAUCAGGAGGAACACCGAUGGCGAAGGCAGAUCUCUGGGCCGUAACUGACGCUGAGGAGCGAAAGCAUGGGGAGCGAACAGG